GACGAACGCUGGCGGCGUGCUUAACACAUGCAAGUCGAGCGGUAAGGCCUCUUCGGGGGUACACGAGCGGCGAACGGGUGAGUAACACGUGGGUGACCUGCCCUCAGCUCUGGGAUAAGCCUGGGAAACUGGGCCUAAUACCGGAUAUGACCUUUCCUCGCAUGGGGUUUGGUGGAAAGUUUUUUCGGCUGGGGAUGGGCCCGCGGCCUAUCAGCUUGUUGGUGGGGUGAUGGCCUACCAAGGCGACGACGGGUAGCCGGCCUGAGAGGGCGACCGGCCACACUGGGACUGAGACACGGCCCAGACUCCUACGGGAGGCAGCAGUGGGGAAUAUUGCGCAAUGGGCGGAAGCCUGACGCAGCGACGCCGCGUGGGGGAUGACGGCCUUCGGGUUGUAAACCUCUUUCGACCCCGACGAAUUUGGACGGUAGGGGUAGAAGAAGCACCGGCCAACUACGUG
rnacentral:rRNA from 1 species